rnacentral:rRNA from 1 species
GAUCUACCUGACGGAAGUUUGAGGCAAUAACAGGUCUGUGAUGCCCUUAGAUGUUCUGGGCCGCACGCGCGCUACACUGACAAAGCCAGCGAGUCUAUCACCUUGGCCGGAAGGUCCGGGUAAUCUUGUGAAACUUUGUCGUGCUGGGGAUAGAGCAUUGCAAUUAUUGCUCUUCAACGAGGAAUGCCUAGUAAGCGCAAGUCAUCAGCUUGCGUUGAUUACGUCCCUGCCCUUUGUACACACCGCCCGUCGCUACUACCGAUUGAAUGGCUUAGUGAGGUCUUUGGAUCGGCUUUGAGGACCCGGCAACGGGAUCUCGUCGCUGAGAAGUCGAUCAAACUUGGUCAUUUAGAGGAAGUAAAAGUCGUAACAAGGUUUCCGUAGGUGAACCUGCGGAAGGAUCAUUAGUGAAUCCUCAAAGUCGGCUCGUCCUACUGUGCUGGUGGAGACACAUGUGCACGUUGCGAGUCGCAAAUCCCACACACCUGUGAAUCUAUGACUCUGAGUCUGCCGCUUUGCAUGGCCUUGAUCGGCCUGGCGACUCGAGUACUUUUACACACUCUUGAAUGUAAUGGAAUGUCUAUUGUGCAUAAUGUACAAAUGAAACAACUUUCAACAACGGAUCUCUUGGCUCUCGCAUCGAUGAAGAACGCAGCGAAAUGCGAUAAGUAAUGUGAAUUGCAGAAUUCAGUGAAUCAUCGAAUCUUUGAACGCACCUUGCACCCUUUGGUAUUCCGAAGGGUACACCCGUUUGAGUGUCAUUGUAAUCUCACUACAUUCGACUUUGUGUCGCUUGUAUGUGGACUUGGAUGUUGCCGUGGAUUUCCACGGCUCGUCUGAAAUGCCUGAGUGUACCCCAUUUUGCGGCGUAUUCGGUGUGAUACAUCUUCACCGGAGUUGAUCCUUUCGGGUCGCGUCAGUAUGAGUGUGGCUCUAUGCUUCCAACCGUCCCUUUAUAAGGACAAUCUCUUGACAAUUUGACCUCAAAUCGGGUGGGACUACCCGCUGAACUUAAGCAUAUCAAUAAGCGGAGGAAAAGAAACUAACAAGGAUUCCCCUAGUAACGGCGAGUGAAGAGGGAAAAGCUCAAAUUUCGAAUCUGGUGUCUUUGACUCCCGAGUUGUAAUCUAGAGAAGUGUUUUCCGUGUCGGACCGUGCACAAGUUCCCUGGAACGGGGCGUCAUAGAGGGUGAGAAUCCCGUAUAUGGCACGGACUGCCGAUGCUCUGUGAUACACUCUCAACGAGUCGAGUUGUUUGGGAAUGCAGCUCAAAAUGGGUGGUAAAUUCCAUCUAAAGCUAAAUAUUGGCGAGAGACCGAUAGCGAACAAGUACCGUGAGGGAAAGAUGAAAAGCACUUUGGAAAGAGAGUGAAACAGUACGUGAAAUUGUUGAAAGGGAAGCGUUUGAAGUCAGUCAUGUCUGGCGGGAUUCAACUUGGGCUUCUGCCCGGUGUACUUUCCGUCCGAUGGGUCAGCAUCAAUUUCGACCGAGGGAAAAAGAUGUGGGGAAUGUGGCUGUCUUCGGGCAGUGUUAUAGCCCCGCAUUGUAUGCCUCGGUUGGGAUUGAGGAACGCAGCGCGCCUAUAGGCCAGGGGCUACCCGCCUCUUGACACGCGCUUAGGA